GGGGAUAUAGCUCAGUUGGUAGAGUGCUUGCCUUUCAUGCACAGAGCCCUGGGUUCAAUCCCAGCACCA
rnacentral:tRNA from 1 species